CCUACGGGAGGCAGCAGUGGGGGAUAUUGCACAAUGGGGGGAACCCUGAUGCAGCGACGCCGCGUGGGUGAAGAAGCGCCUCGGCGCGUAAAGCUCUGUCAGCAGGGAAGAAAAAGACGGUAACCGAAGAAGAAGCCCAGGCUAACUACGGGCCAGCAGCCGCGGGAAUACGGAGGGGGCAAGCGUUAUCCGGAUUUACUGGGUGUAAAGGGGGCGCAGGCGGGGAUGCAAGCCAGGAGUGAAAGCCACGGGCCCAACCCCGAGACUGCUCUUGGAAAUGCGUGGCUGGAGUGCAGGAGGGGCAGGCGGAAUUCCUGGUGUAGCGGUGAAAUGCGUAGAUAUCCGGAGGAACACCGGUGGCGAAGGCGGCCUGCUGGGCUGCAACUGACGUUGAGGCCCGAAAGCGUGGGGAGCAAACAGGAUUAGAUACCCGUGUAGUC
rnacentral:rRNA from 1 species